UCCAGGCCCUACGGGGCGCAGCAGGCGCGAAACCUUCGCAAUGCACGAAAGUGCGACGAGGCUACUCCGAGUGCCACCUGCUGAAGGUGGCUUUUUUCAGGUCUAAAUAGCCUGGAGAAUAAGGGGAGGGCAAGUCUGGUGUCAGCCGCCGCGGUAAUACCAGCUCCCCGAGUGGUCGGGACGAUUAUUGGGCCUAAAGCAUCCGUAGCCGGCUCUGUAGGUCUCCUGUUAAAUUCAACGGCUCAACCGUUGAGCCGCAGGAGAUACCGCAAGGCUAGGAGGCGGGGGAGGCGGACGGUACUCCAUGGGUAGGGGUAAAAUCCUCUGAUGCAUGGAAGACCACCAGUGGCGAGGGCGGUCCGCCAAAACGCGCUCGACGGUGAGGGAUGAAAGCUGGGGGAGCGAACCGGAUUAGAUACCCGGGUAGUCCCAGCUGUAAACGAUGCGAGCUAGGUGAUGGGGUGACUAUGAGUUGCCCCAGUGCCGCAGGGAAGCCGUUAAGCUCGCCGCCUGGGGAGUACGGUCGCAAGGCUGAAACUUAAAGGAAUUGGCGGGGGAGCACCACAAGGGGUGAAGCCUGCGGUUCAAUUGGAGUCAACGCCGGA
rnacentral:rRNA from 1 species